AACGAACGCUGGCGGCAUGCCUAACACAUGCAAGUCGAACGCCCUCUUCGGAGGGAGUGGCGCACGGGUGCGUAACGCGUGGGAACCUGCCCUUAGGUUCGGAAUAACUCAGAGAAAUUUGAGCUAAUACCGGAUAAUGUCUUCGGACCAAAGAUUUAUCGCCUUUGGAUGGGCCCGCGUUGGAUUAGCUAGUUGGUGGGGUAAAGGCCUACCAAGGCGACGAUCCAUAGCUGGUCUGAGAGGAUGAUCAGCCACACUGGGACUGAGACACGGCCCAGACUCCUACGGGAGGCAGCAGUGGGGAAUAUUGGACAAUGGGCGAAAGCCUGAUCCAGCGAUGCCGCGUGAGUGAUGAAGGCCUUAGGGUUGUAAAGCUCUUUUACUGGGGAUGAUAAUGACAGUACCCAGAGAAUAAGCUCCGGCUAACUCCGUGCCAGCA
rnacentral:rRNA from 1 species